CCAUAGCCCUGAUAGAAGUGGAAAUCCUUGCGGACCGGGUUCGGUCCACAAGAUUGAAGCGAAUAGCAGGAAAUAGC
rnacentral:sRNA from 1 species